UGGGGAAUAUUGCACAAUGGAGGGAACUCUGAUGCAGCGACGCCGCGUGAGUGAUGAAGGAAUUCGUUUCGUAAAACUCUGUUCUAUGGGAAGAAAAGGACUGUACCAUAGGAGAAAGCUCUGGCUAAAUACGUGCCAGCAGCCGCGGUAAUACGUAUGGAGCGAGCGUUGUCCGGAAUUAUUGGGCGUAAAGGGUGCGCAGGCGGCUUUACAAGUUGGAUGUGAAAUAUUGUGGCUCAACCACAAACGUGCAUCCAAAACUGCAAAGCUUGAGUUAAGGAGAGGUAAGUGGAAUUCCUGGUGUAGCGGUGGAAUGCGUAGAUAUCAGGAGGAAUACCGGUGGCGAAGGCGACUUACUGGACUUAAACUGACGCUCAGGCACGAAAGCGUGGGGAGCAAACAGG
rnacentral:rRNA from 1 species